ensembl:snRNA U2 U2 spliceosomal RNA
AUCGCUUCUCGGCUUUUUGGCUAAGAUCAAGUGCAGUAUCAAAUAAACACUGACAAAAUUGUCUUCUUGUUUGCAUUUUUCUCUUCUAUUAAAUUAACAUAAGUUACUUUUUACUUUUUUAACAAUCCAAUGAUUUGGGAGUAGCUAAA